GACGUAGGGCGCGAGCGUUGUCCGGAUUUAUUGGGCGUAAAGAGCUCGUAGGCGGCUUGUUGCGUCAGCUGUGAAAACCCGCAGCUCAACUGUGGGCUUGCAGCUGAUACGGGCAGGCUAGAGUUCGGUAGGGGAGACUGGAAUUCCUGGUGUAGCGGUGAAAUGCGUAGAUAUCUGGAGGAACACCGGUGGCGAAGGCGGCAUCCUGGACCGACACUGACACUGAGGAGCGAAAGCCAGGGGAGCAAACGGG
rnacentral:rRNA from 1 species